UAUUGGCUUGGAUCCAAUUGAAGAUGAUACAGAAGGUUCUUUGGAAUGGCUUUCACACUUCCAAAACUUGCGGAAGGAGAUCGUCAAACUAUGGAAGGAAUGCAAUGUUUCAUUAGUUCACAGGAGCUACUUUUUCCUUCUGUUUAAAGGUGAUCCGACAGAUUCCAUCUACUUGGAGGUAGAGCUCAGGAGGUUGUCAUAUCUUAGGGAUAAAUCCGCUCGUUGUAAUCAAGCUCUGGAAGAUAGUCAGGCCUUGACUGCUGUUUCAAGCAUACAAGAUCUUUGUCGUGAGAGGCAGAUGCUCACCAAGCAGUAGCAAAAGAAGCUCACCAGGAAAGAUAGAGAGAUACUCUUCCAAACUUGGGGGAUUGGUUUGAAUACCAAGCAUAGAAGUUUGCAGUUAGCCCACUGGUUGUGGUCCGACACAGAAGACAUGGACCAUGUGGCCGAGAGUGCCAAAAUUGUUGCAAAGCUUGUUGGUUUUGUUCAGCCAGAGGAAGCUUCCAAGGAGAUGUUUGGCCUCAACUUUACACCUUGGCGAUCAAAAACAAAACUUCGUAAGUGGAAAAGCACUAUGAUGUCUUUCUUGUGAAGCUUUGUUUUGGAUGCUAUUACUUUUGCGGAAUGGUGACGAAAUCGUUUCUCCAACUAUCUGAGGUGGUAUGAAUUCCUUUUAACUGGUAAUAUGUAUGUAAUGAGAUGCAGGUCAUUGUACAAAA